UACGGGGGGGGCAAGCGUUGUUCGGAAUUACUGGGCGUAAAGGGUUUGUAGGUGGCCCGCUAAGUCACACGUGAAAUCCCUCAGCUUAACUGGGGAACUGCGUGUGAGACUGGCAGGCUCGAGGGCAGGAGAGGAACGCGGAAUUCCAGGUGUAGCGGUGAAAUGCGUAGAUAUCUGGAGGAACACCGGUGGCGAAGGCGGCGUUCUGGACUGUCUCUGACACUGAAGAACGAAAUCCAGGGGAGCAAACGGG
rnacentral:rRNA from 1 species